AGAGUUUGAUCCUGGCUCAGAACGAACGCUGGCGGCGUGGAUUAGGCAUGCAAGUCGAACGAUCCCGCAAGGGAUAGUGGCGAAAGGGUGCGUGACACGUGGGCAAUCUGCCCCCGAAACGGGAAUAACUUCGGGAAACCGAAGCUAAUACCUGAUGACACCGAGCUGCCGCAUGGUGGCACGGUGAAAGGCGUCCGCAAGGGUGCCGAUCGGGGAUGAGCCCGCGGCCUAUCAGCUAGUUGGUGAGGUAACGGCCCACCAAGGCGAUGACGGGUAGCCGGCCUGAGAGGGUGGUCGGCCACAUUGGGACUGAGACACUGCCCAGACUCCUACGGGAGGCUGCAGUCGAGGAUCUUCCGCAAUGGGGGAAACCCUGACGGAGCGACGCCGCGUGGAGGAUGAAGGCCUUCGGGUCGUAAACUCCUGUCAGUCUGGAAGAAAAUCUGCAGCAAUGUGGAUUGACCGUACAGGCAGAGGAAGCUCCGGCUAACUCCGUGCCAGCAGCCGCGGUAAUACGGAGGGAGCGAGCGUUGUUCGGAAUCAUUGGGCGUAAAGGGCAUGUAGGCGGCUCUGUAAGUCGGGUGUGAGAUCCCAUCUCUCAAGGGUGGAACGGCAUUCGAAACUGCAGGGCUUGAGUUCGGGGGAAGAGAGCGGAAUUCUCGGUGUAGCGGUGAUAUGCGUAGAUAUCGAGAAGAACACCAGCGGCGUAAGCGGCUCUCUAUCCUGAAACUGACGCUGAGGUGCGAAAGCCAGGGGAGCGAACGGGAUUAGAUACCCCGGUAGUCCUGGCCAUAAACGAUGUGCACUUGGUGUUGGGCCGCGAGGCUCAGUGCCGAAGCUAACGCAUUAAGUGCACCGCCUGGGGAGUACGACCGCAAGGUUGAAACUCAAAUGAAUUGACGG
rnacentral:rRNA from 1 species